UCCACGCCGUAAACGAUGUCGACUUGGAGGUUGUGCCCUUGAGGCGUGGCUUCCGGAGCUAACGCGUUAAGUCGACCGCCUGGGGAGUACGGCCGCAAGGUUAAAACUCAAAUGAAUUGACGGGGGCCCGCACAAGCGGUGGAGCAUGUGGUUUAAUUCGAUGCAACGCGAAGAACCUUACCUGGUCUUGACAUCCACGGAAGUUUUCAGAGAUGAGAAUGUGCCUUCGGGAACUGUGAGACAGGUGCUGCAUGGCUGUCGUCAGCUCGUGUUGUGAAAUGUUGGGUUAAGUCCCGCAACGAGCGCAACCCUUAUCCUUUGUUGCCAGCGGUCCGGCCGGGAACUCAAAGGAGACUGCCAGUGAUAAACUGGAGGAAGGUGGGGAUGACGUCAAGUCAUCAUGGCCCUUACGACCAGGGCUACACACGUGCUACAAUGGCGCAUACAAAGAGAAGCGACCUCGCGAGAGCAAGCGGACCUCAUAAAGUGCGUCGUAGUCCGGAUUGGAGUCUGCAACUCGACUCCAUGAAGUCGGAAUCGCUAGUAAUCGUGGAUCAGAAUGCCACGGUGAAUACGUUCCCGGGCCUUGUACACACCGCCCGUCACACCAUGGGAGUGGGUUGCAAAAGAAGUAGGUAGCUUAACCUUCGGGAGGGCGCUUACCACUUUGUGAUUCAUGACUGGG
rnacentral:rRNA from 1 species